CCGAAUCCGUGACCACCCUGCGCAGUCUCUCAACCCUGAGACGGCCUCAUCGUCUACUGCUGUGCUGGUCCGCGGCAGGUGGCGCCUGAACGUGGGGCCCAAAUUCAAAUAUUGCUGAGUUUUUCCACCCAAAGGAGAGGGUUCCAGAGACCUCUGAAAAUGAUGAGGAAGCUUGCCUCCAUUGGCAGGACUGAAUAACCCGGUUCCCUGGACAGAAAGCUCUGUCAUGAAGCCUGAACUCUUUCGUCUUUUCACUGCCUUUGAUGAUGUACACUUCAAACAACCUGGACAGGACACCGCUAAGAUCCCAGUGCGUGCCUGCGUUGGAUACCCCUUUGCUCUGCUCCUGGGAAAUGCUUCAUCCACACUCUCUCAACCCUGAGACGGCCUCAUCGUCUACUGCUGUGCUGG